AAUUUCGGACAAUGGGGGAAACCCUGAUCCAUCCAUGCCUCUCGUGUGAAGAAGGUCUUCGGAUUGUAUAGUACUUUAAGUUGGGAGGAAGGGCUUUAGGCGAUUACCCUUAAGUUUUCACGUUACCAACCGAUUAAGAUCCGGCAAACCCUGUGCGCGCAGCCGCGGUAAUACAGAGGGUGCAAGUGUUAAUCGGAAUUACGGGGCGUAAAGCGCGCGUAGGUGGUUCAGGAAGAUGGGUGUGAAAUCCCCGGGCUUAACCUGGGAACUGCUUUCAUAACUGCUGAGCUAGAGUACGGUAGAGGGUAGUGGAAUUUCCUGUGUAGCGGUGAAAUGCGUAGAUAUAGGAAGGAACACCAGUGGCGAAGGCGACUACCUGGACUGAUACUGACACUGAGGUGCGAAAGCGUGGGGAGCAAACA
rnacentral:rRNA from 1 species